rnacentral:rRNA from 1 species
GGCUCAGAACGAACGCUGGCGGCGCGCCUAAUACAUGCAAGUCGAGCGAGAAGGUGUAGCAAUACACUUGUAAAGCGGCGAACGGGUGAGGAAUACAUGGGUAAUCUACCAUCGAGUGGGGAAUAACCAGCCGAAAGGUUGGCUAAUACCGCGUACGCCUCCGGAUCUUCGGGUUCGGAGGGAAAGCCGCACUGUGAGUGCGGCGCUCUUUGAUGAGCUCAUGUCCUAUCAGCUUGUUGGUAGGGUAACGGCCUACCAAGGCUUUGACGGGUAGCUGGUCUGAGAGGACGAUCAGCCACACUGGCACUGCGACACGGGCCAGACUCCUACGGGAGGCAGCAGUAAGGAAUAUUGCGCAAUGGGCGAAAGCCUGACGCAGCGACGCCGCGUGGGGGAUGAAGGUCUUCGGAUUGUAAACCCCUUUCGGGAGGGAAGAUGGAACGAGCAAUCGUUCGGACGGUACCUCCAGAAGCAGCCACGGCCAACUUCGUGCCAGCAGCCGCGGUAAUACGAAGGUGGCAAGCGUUGUUCGGAUUCACUGGGCGUACAGGGUGUGUAGGCGGUUUGGUAAGCCUUCUGUUAAAGCUUCGGGCCCAACCCGGAAAGCGCAGAGGGUACUGCCAGGCUAGAGGGUGGGAGAGGAGCGCGGAAUUCCCGGUGUAGCGGUGAAAUGCGUAGAGA